GACAGAGGAUGCAAGCGUUAUUCGGAUUUAUUGGGCGUAAAGCGUCUGUAGGUGGCUUUUCAAGUCCGCCGUCAAAUCCCAGGGCUCAACCCUGGACAGGCGGUGGAAACUACCAAGCUGGAGUACGGUAGGGGCAGAGGGAAUUUCCGGUGGAGCGGUGAAAUGCAUUGAGAUCGGGAAGAACACCAACGGCGAAAGCACUCUGCUGGGCCGACACUGACACUGAGAGACGAAAGCUAGGGGAGCAAAUGGG
rnacentral:rRNA from 1 species